UACGUAGGGGGCUAGCGUUGUCCGGAAUCAUUGGGCGUAAAGAGCGCGUAGGCGGCCAGAUAAGUCCGGUGUGAAAGUCACAGGCUCAACCUGUGAAUGCCGCUGGAAACUGUCUGGCUAGAGUCCGGGAGGGGCGAGUGGAAUUCCUGGUGUAGCGGUGAAAUGCGCAGAUAUCAGGAGGAACACCGAUGGCGAAGGCAGGUCUCUGGGCCACUACUGACGCUGAGAAGCGAAAGCGUGGGGAGCGAACAGG
rnacentral:rRNA from 1 species